rnacentral:rRNA from 2 species
UCUGGCGGCGAUAGCGCGGUGGUCCCACCUGACCCCAUGCCGAACUCAGAAGUGAAACGCCGUAGCGCCGAUGGUAGUGUGGGGUCUCCCCAUGUGAGAGUAGGGAACUGCCAGAC